UGGGGAAUAUUGCGCAAUGGGCGAAAGCCUGACGCAGCGACGCCGCGUGAGGGAUGAAGGUCUUCGGAUCGUAAACCUCUGUCAGAAGGGAAAAAUGUACAGUGCUCCAAUCAACAUUGUAUUGAUGGUACCUUCAGAGGAAGCACCGGCUAACUCCGUGUCAGCAGCCGCGGUAAUACGGAGGGUGCAAGCGUUAAUCGGAAUUACUGGGCGUAAAGCGCGCGUAGGUUGUUUUGUAAGUCAGAGGUGUAAUCCCACGGCUUAACCGUGGAACUGCCUUUGAUACUGCAUAACUUGGAUCCGGGAGAGGACAGC
rnacentral:rRNA from 1 species